rnacentral:rRNA from 1 species
UACGUAGGGCGCAAGCGUUGUCCGGAAUUAUUGGGCGUAAAGAGCUCGUAGGCGGCUUGUCACGUCGGAUGUGAAAGCCCGGGGCUUAACCCCGGGUCUGCAUUCGAUACGGGCAGGCUAGAGUUCGGUAGGGGAGAUCGGAAUUCCUGGUGUAGCGGUGGAAAUGCGCAGAUAUCAGGAGGAACACCGGUGGCGAAGGCGGGUCUCUGGGCCGAUACUGACGCUGAGGAGCGAAAGCGUGGGGGAGCGAACAGG